CAAUAGCGUAUAUUAAAGUUGUUGCAGUUAAAAAGCUCGUAGUUGGAUUUCUGGUUGAAGCGACCGGUCGGGCGUUGAUUCGUCCGCACUGGAGUCGGUUUUGGCCAUCCUCUAGGAAAGUGCGUCUGGUAUUAAGUUAUCGGGCGUAUGAUCCUGGUCUUUUACUGUGAAAAAAUUAGAGUGUUUAAAGCAGGCCUUCGCCUUGAAUACAUUAGCAUGGAAUAAUAAGAUAGGACUUUGGUCUAUUUUGUUGGUUUGCAGACCGAAGUAAUGAUUAAUAGGGAUAGUUGGGGGUAUUUAUAUUCCGAUGUCAGAGGUGAAAUUCUUAGAUUUUCGGAAGAUAAACUUAUGCGAANGNAUUUACNAAGGAUGUUUNCAUUA
rnacentral:rRNA from 1 species